UACGGAGGGGGCGAGCGUUAUUCGGAAUUAUUGGGCGUAAAGGGCGCGUAGGCGGCUAGAUGUGUCAAAGGUGAAAUCCCCUCGGCUCAACUGAGGAACUGCCUUUGAAACUGUCUGGCUUGAGGCCGGGAGAGGGUAGCGGAAUUCCCAGUGUAGCGGUGAAAUGCGUAGAUAUCUGGAGGAACACCGGUGGCGAAGGCGGCGUCCUGGACCAAUACUGACACCGAAACGCGAAAGACCAGGGGAGCAAACGGG
rnacentral:rRNA from 1 species